rnacentral:rRNA from 1 species
GAUGAACGCUGGCGGCGUGCCUAAUACAUGCAAGUCGAGCGAACAGACGAGGAGCUUGCUCCUCUGACGUUAGCGGCGGACGGGUGAGUAACACGUGGAUAACCUACCUAUAAGACUGGGAUAACUUCGGGAAACCGGAGCUAAUACCGGAUAAUAUAUUGAACCGCAUGGUUCAAUAGUGAAAGACGGUUUUGCUGUCACUUAUAGAUGGAUCCGCGCCGCAUUAUCUAGUUGGUAAGGUAACGGCUUACCAAGGCAACGAUGCGUAGCCGACCUGAGAGGGUGAUCGGCCACACUGGAACUGAGACACGGUCCAGACUCCUACGGGAGGCAGCAGUAGGGAAUCUUCCGCAAUGGGCGAAAACUUGACGGAGCAACGCCGCGUGAGUGAUGAAGGUCUUCGGAUCGUAAAACUCUGUUAUUAGGGAAGAACAAAUGUGUAAGUAACUAUGCACGUCUUGACGGUACCUAAUCAGAAAGCCACGGCUAACUACGUG